rnacentral:rRNA from 1 species
UACCAGCACCCCGAGUGGUCGGGACGAUUAUUGGGCCUAAAGCAUCCGUAGCCGGUUUUACAAGUCCCCGUUAAAUCCAACUGCUUAACAGAUGGGCCGCGGAGGAUACUAUAAGACUAGGAGGCAGGACGAGGCAAGCGGUACUCAGUGGGUAGGGGUAAAAUCCGUUGAUCCAUUGAAGACCACCAGUGGCGAAGGCGGCUU